AACGAACGCUGGCGGCAGGCUUAACACAUGCAAGUCGAACGCACUCUUCGGAGUGAGUGGCAGACGGGUGAGUAACGCGUGGGAACCUACCUAGUGGUACGGAAUAACACAGGGAAACUUGUGCUAAUACCGUAUGUGCCCUUCGGGGGAAAGAUUUAUCGCCAUUAGAUGGGCCCGCGUCGGAUUAGCUAGUUGGUGAGGUAAUGGCUCACCAAGGCGACGCUCCGUAGCUGGUCUGAGAGGAUGAUCAGCCACACUGGGACUGAGACACGGCCCAGACUCCUACGGGAGGCAGCAGUGGGGAAUAUUGGACAAUGGGCGCAAGCCUGAUCCAGCCAUGCCGCGUGAGUGAUGAAGGCCUUAGGGUUGUAAAGCUCUUUCAGCGGGGAAGAUAAUGACGGUACCCGCAGAAGAAGCCCCGGCUAACUUCGUGCCAGCCGCCGCCGUAAUAC
rnacentral:rRNA from 1 species